UGGAUGGAACCGAAAGUUUCUGCAGCCAUUGCACAAUGUGACAGCCUUCCAGACCAGCUGUCUGGACAGUCAGGUCUGAGUCCUAUGAAUGCAGCAAGUCUGACUGCUUGUGUAGGAAAGGUGCCAAAGGAGCUAGUGCACAGCUUGGGUCACAGAGCCUCCCUCCAGGCUGGUAAGUCAUGGAGCAUCUCUGGGGAUGUAGAUCCAAGGGGAUGAUUAGUCAUGGAGCAUC
rnacentral:lncRNA from 12 species